GGGUGAGUGAAAACCUAGAUCUAGUUCUAGGGUUUUGGGAAGAGAGAAAAGAAAGAAGAAAGUUUUCAUCUUUAUCUUCUUCCAUCACCACUUCCUCCUCCAUGUUCCAUAUUUAGAUCUAGAAGAGUUUGGGAGAUCCAAAGAGAAGAGUAGAUCAGCCAUCCAGAAGGUCUUCGCAUAAGCUAGCACUCUCAGAAAGAUCGAUCAGUGCAGUACUUCGAGUGGACCAACC
rnacentral:lncRNA from 1 species